GAUGAACGCUAGCUACAGGCUUAACACAUGCAAGUCGAGGGACCGGCGCACGGGUGAGUAACACGUAUCCAACCUGCCCUUUACUAGGGGAUAGCCUUUUGAUAGAAAGAUUAAUACCCGAUGUAAAGGAUGGGGAUGCGUUUCAUGAGGUUGUUGGUGAGGUAACGGCUCACCAAGCCUUCGGUGGCUAUGGGUUCUGAGAGGAAGGUACGGCACUUUGGAACUGAGACCCGGUCCCAAUGUCGACGGGAGGCAGGAGUGUGGUAUAUUGGUGAAUGAGCGUUAGCCUGAAACAGCCAAGUAGAGUGAAGAAUGAAGGCAUAUGGGUCGUCAACCUCUUAUAUAGAAGAAUAUGUAUUAUAUGAAUAAGGAUCAGCUAACUCCGUGCCAGCAGCCGCGGUAAUUC
rnacentral:rRNA from 1 species